rnacentral:misc_RNA from 1 species
GAUGAAGAACGUAGCGAAAUGCGAUAAGUAGUGUGAAUUGCAGAAUUCAGUGAAUCAUCGAAUCUUUGAACGCACAUUGCGCCCCUUGGUAUUCCAUGGGGCAUGCCUGUUCGAGCGUCAUUUGUACCCUCAAGCUUUGCUUGGUGUUGGGUGUUUGUCCCGCGCUCUUUUGCGCAAGACUCGCCUUAAAUCAAUUGGCAGCCGGCAUGUUAGCCUGGAGCGCAGCACAUUUUGCGCCCCUUGCUUGCUUGUGUUGGCCCCCAUCAAGUCCGUAUAUUUGCUCUUGACCUCGGAUCAGGUAGGGAUACCCGCUGAACUUAAGCAUAUCAAUAAGCGGAGGA